rnacentral:lncRNA from 1 species
CACAUCACAUGCCCACAAUGGAACGCACGCAAAGGGCAAACUCCUCUUCACCUCUUGCAUGAACAAAUCACAAAGAAAUUGCUUCAUCUACAAACAGAGAGAUCAACAUAAGCUAUAAUUCUGGGGAAAAAACAUACAGGAUACCAACAAGGAAUAAACAUGGGAAAGACAAUAAAAAUUUCAGAAAACAUACGAUGUAGGAACCUAGUAAUUUCCAGUGUAAAUCCCCAUGUAACUAUACUUGUAAAACACAAAAUACCUAAAAUUUCCAGUGUAAAAUAAACUGUAACUACUGGAAAUUACAGUACCAGUAAAUCCUAGAAAAUUACAGUGCGAAUCCUAGAAAUUUACAGUGCAAAAACCAGUGAAAAUGGAGACAAAAGAUGCAAUUACGCUGUAAAUACCCAGUAAAUUCCAGAGCAAAUUAAACUGUAGGUGCCUAGUCUGUAAAUCCUAGCAAAUGACAGUGUAAAUCAUAGAGAAUUACAGUGCAGAAACCGGUGUAAACAAGACAAAAGAUUACUGUCAACCCACUAAAUUCUAGUGUAAAUUAAAUCCUGUCACCUAGUAAAAAUUCCACUAUAAAUCCUAGGAAAUUACAGUGAAAUUACACUGCAAUUACAGUGUAAAUUAAACCCACUAAAUUCUAGUGUAAAUUAAAUCCUGUCACCUAGUAAAAAUUCCACUGUAAAUCCUAGGAAAUUACAGUGAAAUUACACUGCAAUUACAGUGUAAAUUAAACCCAGUAAAUCCUAGAAAAUUACAGUGUAAAUAAAAAGUUACAGUGCAAAAACUGGUGUAAGCAUGGAGACAAAAGACAAUUACACUGUAAAUACCCAGUAAAUUCCAGUGUAAACUAAGGGUACCUAGUAAGAAUUCCAUUGUAAAUCCUAGAAAAUUACAGUGAAAACUGGUGUGGUUUACUUUAAUUUAUAGGGGAUUUCCACUGUAAAUCCUAGAAAAUUACAGUGUAAUUACAAUGCAAUUACAGUGCAAAUUAAACCCACUAAAUCCUAAAAUAUUACAGUGUAAAUCAUAGAAAGUUACAGUGCAAAAAAAGGUGUAAACAUGGAGACAAAAGACAGCUACACUGUAAACACCCAAAUAAUUACACUGUAACUCAACAAAACUAAAGUAAUUACACUGUAAGUACCUAGCAAUUUCCAAAUGUAAAAACUCAAGAAAACUAAAGUAAUUACACUGUAAGUACCUAGUAAUUACACCGUAAGCGCAAAAUACAACCUACAGAAUACAUUCAAGCUUGAUUGUGAUUAUGCUAACACUAACAUUCUGCUUACAUCUAUUUCUAUAAGCUUUGCUGCCGAUGAUUAUGCUAGCACCGACAUUCUACUUUUCAAAAUGUGUCACGAGAGGAGCAUGAUGAGGACAAUAACUGACUACGAUCUCCUGAGAUUGACACAGGAAGAACUCAUAUUAAAUGUGAGAUACAGUACCUAAAACUUUGCAAAGAUGAUUAAAAUACAUUAAAAGGUAAAAGGCUAACAAAAUUAUGAUGCAAGAAUCAUUUUCUUUCACUGCACUCCUUCAUUCCGACAUUAUAUACAAGGUAUAAAAUCAAAAAUCUCAAUUAACCGCUGCAAAAAAUACCUAAAUGUCUUAAACUUAAACUUGUGAUGAACCUUGCAGGUACAUUCGGGAGAUGGAUCUACGAGCAUUUGGGAAACUAUGGAGAAAAACUACAGGAGCAAAGUAGAGGACUGUUUCAUCACAACAAGAGAUAACAAAUGUAAGGAAAACAACAACUGAAUAACUAUUACAAACAAAUGGCGAAGGAAACGCACUAACAAUCAUUAAACCUACCUUGCAGACAUCGGAGCUAGACUUGCAUCAUGAAGAGGCAGCGAAGCGAAGAUGGUGGAGGAGAAUCUAAUCCCUGGGACACAAACCUGUUCUACAACAUGAAUCUGCAACAGGUACAGACAACAAUUUUCAGCUGAGAAACAUAAAAGGAGAAACAUUUUAGAAAAAAACUAAAAGAAAUCGCUAUCCCAGUAUAGCAGCAGCUAAAAUGAACUGAAGCACAUGCCAUAGCAAUGAAGAAGGAGAAAGAAAAGAACCAGAAGACUCAAAUUGGGGAUUUGCCGCUCGACUUGAGGAGAUGGAUUGUCAACAACAGU